AGGUCAGUAGCUCAAUUGGUAGAGCACCGGUCUCCAAAACCGGGGGUUGGGGGUUCGAGCCCCUCCUGACCUGCCA
rnacentral:tRNA from 2 species